UUCUGGAAUUAAGUAGUGAGAAGCUGUAAGCCAGAGCUCUGACAGAGUGGUACGGGGCAUUGCCUGUGGUAGCAGCAUUUCUCUGUCCAGGUACAGCUGUCAGAGGAGCAGAGAGCCUGUGAGAAGGGAACCAGGAAAAGAAACUGCUAAACUGUGAAGUCAGAAAAAGAACUGGGACCAAGAUGUUUGGAGACAAGUCUGGACUGCUGACAGUAGGCAGCAGGACAAACAGCUUGAAGAAAAGGAGCCUGGAUCCCAGGCUGGCUGUGCUGUCAGCCUUAGCACGCUUCUGGGAAGCUGGCUGGAGGCCUCCAGACCCAAGCUCUCCAAGACCCAGUUGUCAGCACCCCACAAGCAGCUCUGCAGCAUCAAGCAAAGGGAAGUCUGCCUCCUCCUGCCCCUGCCUGCCCUGGAAACUGUAUCCUCAGAGAUGCUCCAGAAACCUGAGCAACUGACAAAGUGGAGGACCAAGAGUUGUCCUGAGGAAACACUUGAGCGCUUUCAGGAGCAUUGAACAGAAGCGACUUGUCACCCCAGACAAGAGCAGGGAAAGUGGUGCAGGCAGAGCUGUUGGAGCUGCUGACAUCGCUCAGUGGGAGAAAACCAGAAGGAAAUCUCCAGCUGAAUGGAAGAGCCAACUUGUCCAGAAGAGGGGAGUAACAAUGGGUAUGCACAGAGCUGGAUGAAGGCCCCCUCUCGCUCUGCAGCGGGGAGAUGUACUUUCUCCCCCAUGUUUCCCUCCCCCUCUCCCCUGUGACACUGCAUUCUGUGGGAAAUCUUCACGGUGAUUUUGGUGGCUUAAAGUCAUCCACAGCGGCCUGAGCGACUGGUUCGCGCAUAUCAGCCACUUGACCCAAGGCUGGCUCUUCAAUUCAGUCCCUGCUUCAAGCUUGCUGACGUGGUCACCCAGACAGGAUCCUCCAUUUUGGGUGUGAUUGUUGGCUAGGGGUGAGGGCACUUUAGGGAUCUUGGAAUGAAAGUCUUAGCAAACGUGGUGAGAGGUGCCAAGGCAGGAAGCCGCCACCGAGAAUAGCACAGUGAACCUGGAGAAAAAUGUUCUUGUGACACCCUUUGAACCCUGUAUUCAUUAAUGUUCCAUCCCCUUUUGCCAAUUACCUCGGUCCAUAAAUCUGCCUCGAGUUUAAGCUGAUUAGGGCUCGUUUUCACAGCACUUAGAGUGCAAGUUCCCAUUUACCGGCUUUGUUCAAAGCCCCUGCUCUGCGUUUGCCUCUGACUCAAGCACCUCGCCCCUCACCCCACAAGUGCCCCGAGAUUGUCCUGACAGUGCCAUCAUGACAUCACACAAAACAGCAGAAAUUCCUUCAAUACGCACAGCAGUGGCCACGUGGCUUCCUCAGAGGGAGAGAGUUUGAGAACACUCCAUACCGUUUCCACUGCUGACUUCAUUCUCGGAGCAGAGCCCGGCUGCGGAUGCCUGAGUGACAGGCAAAGCCCAGCAGAACCCCACACCUGCCACCAUUGCCCAGAACUCCUACUAAGACUGCUUACACUGACUGCCGAGUUUAAGGGACAAAGAAAGUUUCACAAAUUUUG